UUUUUGACGUUUUGGAGUUGGGCCUAUAUUUUACAGGCGUCUCAGGGCGUUAUGGCAAUGAAAGACUUAAUCUCAUUCAUUUUUAACUCAUUCAUGCGCAUGCGCAAUGAAUGAGUUAUGGCGAUGUGGGUUUUCGCGAACACAGCGGUCAAACGUCUGCGCAUGCGUCAGAAUAUAAAAACAAAAUGGCGGAAAUGCAAUGCCAGUUCUGGAAAAAAACGAAACAAUUCGGGAUUUUUAUCCUAUGACAAUGGCUUAGUCACUCCAGAUCUCUACAAUAUAGAAUCCUCUAUAAUUGUGAAUGUGGUUUUAUGAGUUUUAACUGUUAGACAUGGCCACUUUAUCCUGGAAACUUUGUAAAUAGAUGUUUCCCCGGGACAAGCACCUAUGAAUUAUGGCUUGACUUGGCUAUGAGUGCUCCAUAUUGGCCAUGCAGCUGACUGUCAAGUAGUAGAAUGUCAUUUCCCAACAAAGCCAAUGGAGAGGCUAUUGAUAAUGACUACAGCAGCUAAAUUUGGUUCACAGACAAGUCUUUGUUAAUAGAAUGCUAAAGAUGCCUGGGGAACGGCAUCAUGAUUAUUGUUUGUAAAUUCAAGAUUAAAUUGAUCCUCUGUUAUGAUGUACCCUGCUAGCAGAGCUUCCUUCCUGUUUGUUUCUAUAAGUUCACUUAUCUGUGUUGCUAAUCUGUUUUUACGCGUUAUUGUUCGUUUGUGACGGCAGGAGAAACCUCUGCAGACAGCCGCUUUUGAAUCAUGUUGGCAUGCGCAAAAUCAUUUUUGCUGCAACCAUCGGAAUUCUCAUCACAUCAAGCUGUAUUUUGAAAUUCCCAGCCGCAGCAACUCUGAUAUCUGUCACGCAAAAGCGCUCACGCUUGAGCUCGGUAGCACAUUCCUUGCUUAAAGCAGUUAAAUUUGAUUUUUGCUAUUAAUAUGGCUAUCAAACACGACCAGAAGACCGAUACUCCAGAGAUUUGAAAUACUACAUGAAUAUGAACAAAGCCAGUUAAGCACUGACAGGUUCAAUUAGAAACAUGUGUCGAUCAGGAGCUUCGAACGUCUGCACUCUUGAUUAACUGUAAUAACAGCGUAAGACAACUUCUUUAGACUAGUCUAACAAUUCAUUCUUAUUUUGUUUAUUAUGUAUGUUGUUAUUUGUGAGCAUUCUCAUCAAAAGUUCUGGAAAUCUGAUAGCUUGAGGGUUUCAAAUCAUUACUGCUGUGAAUCCAUUACUAAAAGCUGUCACACCUCUGAUAAAAACAAUCGGUUAAACCAUUUGACUACCUCCAAAAACUUGGAGGUGACUAAUGCCCAUGCUCAACGGGAUUUGAUAGCUGACCUCUAGUUAAUGUUUGAUGAAUAGUGUUCCCUCGUGUUAUACAGUUGAUCAUAAGUAUACUCCAAAAAGAAGCCACACUUUUAUUUGGAAAUGAAAUGUUUGGAGAGUUAACGCAAAUAGUGUUAGCCAGUAGUAAAACUAUAAAAGUACAUGCAUUUGAACCAUUUCUUCCAUUUAAGGUUGACUGUGAGAUACACAUAUAGGAAAAGGUAAAAGAAAGAGAAAAGAUCAAGAGAAAGAAAAAAAAAACAUCUCAAAGCUCUACUAAUAAGAAGGAAAAAUCCUAUUAAACUAGAAGUUAAAAUAGGAGAGGAAUUUUAGAAAAAGCUUGAAGAAAAGAAAAUAGAAGAGUAAAGGAUGUAAAUUGACAGUAAAAUAAGAGAAAUUAAAAUUGAGGCAAAUAAUAAAAUGUAAGAAGUAGAAAACAAAACCAAAGUAUGUACACCCUUUUAAGUUUAAAAUGUGUACACCAUGUUGGAGUUGGAAAUUAUAAUUAAACCUCAAUAUAACUAGUUGAAGAAGAAGAAAUUAAAUGGAAGAUAUGAUACAAA